UGUCCAACGAUAGCUGCUCCAACAUCCCAGACAUUGCCCCUGAAGUGUCGUAUGGGUUCUAGACUGUGCAAGGAUGGGAAAGAGUGUGUCCUGCAAAGCCAUGUUUGUGAUGGAGAGGUGGACUGUAAGGAUGGAUCAGAUGAACAGGACUGUGGUGGAUCUCCAAUUCCACUUACUACCGCUUAUUUGGCUCCAACUGCAACCAUUCCAGAUAAUCUUCCUGCUCAGCCAGUCUGUACCAGUCCAUCAGUGAUGUGUCGGGGCUCAACUUUGUGCAUCUCCCAAACUCAGCUGUGUGACACAUUGAGAGACUGCCCUGAUGGUUUUGAUGAGGAGUCCUGCAUUACUAAAUGUCCAAACAGAGGUGAGUUCCGGUGUAAGGACAGGAGGAAAUGUAUUGAGAGGAGUCUGGUUUGUGAUGGACGUUCU